GAAAGUCAAACACUGGACUCUUGAAACUUUUGUAACUUCUCUUAUAAACUGCUGCUGCAUAUGAAAAGAAUUUAGAUGGAAAAACAUAAGCCUUAUUAUUUUAAAUGUUAUUAUACCCUUUUACCCUUUUUUCCUUUGCAGAGUCUGCCCUUCUGUCUUUUGUCUUCCUCCUCUGCUAACCCCUCUCUUCCCAUGGUGAUUCCCCUGGCCUCAAUCCUUGGGAACAGUGAACUUGCCUGAGAGCAGCUUCACAAUAAUUCUGACCUUUAAUAUAAUCUAAGAAAAAGCUAUUGUAAAGAUGUUAUUAUCAUAGUUAAUGCAAAUAAAACAUGUGCUGAAGUUCUUGAUAAUUUGUAAAGACCACUG
rnacentral:lncRNA from 1 species